rnacentral:rRNA from 1 species
CCUACGGGAGGCUGCAGUGGGGAAUAUUGGGCAAUGGGCGAAAGCCUGACCCAGCGACGCCGCGUGAAGGAUGAAGGUCUUCGGAUUGUAAACUUCUUUGAUCAGGGAAGAAUAAAUGACGGUACCUGAGGAACAAGCCACGGCUAACUACGUGCCAGCAGCCGCGGUAAUACGUAGGUGGCAAGCGUUGUCCGGAUUUACUGGGUGUAAAGGGCGUGUAGGCGGGGAUACAAGUCAGAUGUGAAAUCCCAUGGCUCAACCAUGGAACUGCAUCUGAAACUGUAUUUCUUGAGUAUCGGAGGGGAAAGUGGAAUUCCUAGUGUAGCGGUGAAAUGCGUAGAUAUUAGGAGGAACACCGGUGGCGAAGGCGACUUUCUGGACGAUAACUGACGCUGAUACGCGAAAGCGUGGGGAGCAAACAGGAUUAGAUACCCUAGUAGUC